ACUUCCCCUAGUUAUGUUGCAGGUUAGGUGGCAGGCAGGGAGAGAGACUCAUCUAUACUCAGCAUCUGGCCCUGGAUGUCUGGAUGAUAGACUGACAUU